GCCGGUACAAUGAAUCAAAGACCUCUAAACCUCAGAUGGGAAGCAAACUAAUUGAGGCCCUACGAGAAAGUGAGAAGGGGAAAAUGAGAUCCGGACUUCCAGAGGCACCUACAAAUCUGUUUGAUGAUAGCAAAAGAGGGAUGCCAAAACCAGGAUGGACUUUUGAGUUUCCAGGAGGAAUUGAUGUCUUCCUUGUUGUAUUUUCAUUUGUAUUCAUCAGCACAGUUAUGUUUGCUACAACAUACAUUGUGUGGAAGGUUGGUGCUAUCCAUUUCAACGAGUAGUGAGGUAGAUGGUUAUGUAUAUCCAGUAUCCUUGGGUUUUCAGGACAUGGUACUGGUCUAGCCAUCCACUAGUACCCGAGAUGAACAAUAUGCUUUCUUUAUCAUGGCUAAGAAAUUAUACUUUUUGCGCCAGUUUAAGG
rnacentral:misc_RNA from 1 species